rnacentral:rRNA from 1 species
UACGGAGGGGGCUAGCGUUUGUUCGGAAUUACUGGGCGUAAAGCGCACGUAGGCGGCUUUGCAAGUCAGAGGUGAAAGCCCGGGGCUCAACCCCGGAAUUGCCUUUGAGACUGCAUCGCUAGAAUUGUGGAGAGGUAAGUGGAAUUCCGAGUGUAGAGGUGAAAUUCGUAGAUAUUCGGAAGAACACCAGUGGCGAAGGCGACUUACUGGACACAUAUUGACGCUGAGGUGCGAAAGCGUGGGGAGCAAACAGG